rnacentral:tRNA from 1 species
GUUAUAAUAGUUUAAAAUAAAAACCUUGGUCUUGUAAACCAAAAUUAGAUAUAAUUCUUUAUAACU